rnacentral:rRNA from 1 species
UGAAUACGAGAUGCUACGGCGUCGAAGCAGUCUAUGUCAUACUUCCAAGAAAAGCUCGCACUGUCAUAAACAAAUAAUGCCUGUACCAUAACCGACACAGGUGGGUAGGUAGAGUAUACUAGGGGCGCGAGAUAACUCUCUCUAAGGAACUCGGCAAAAUGACUCCGUAACUUCGGGAGAAGGAGUGCCUUAUUUAUAAGGUUGCAAUAACAAGAUCCAAGCAACUGUUUAUCAAAAACACAGGUCUCCGCUAAGUCGUAAGACGAUGUAUGGGGGCUGACGCCUGCCCAGUGCCAGAAGGUUAAAGAAGUUGGUUAGCAUUCGCGAAGCUGAUAACUGAAGCCCUGGUGAACGGCGGCCGUAACAAUAACGGUCCUAAGGUAGCGAAAUUCCUUGUCGGGUAAGUUCCGACCCGCACGAAAGGCGUAAUGAUUUGGAUACUGUCUCGGAGAGGGGCUCGGUGAAAUAGACUUGUCUGUGAAGAUGCGGACUACCUGCACCAGGACAGAAAGACCCUAUGAAGCUUUACUGUAACUUGAGAUUGAAAUUGGACUUUACUUGCGCAGUAUAGGUGGGAGGCGUUGAUAAUAUUCUUGCGGGAUUAUUUGAGCCAUCAGUGAGAUACCACUCUUGUAAUGUUAGAUUUCUAACUUUGUAUCAUUAUCUGGUCAAAGGACAGUUUCAGGCGGGCAGUUUGACUGGGGCGGUCGCCUCCUAAACGGUAACGGAGGCGCACGAAGGUUUCCUCUGAACGGGUAGAAAUCGUAUCUAGAGUGUAAAGGCAUAAGGAAGCUUGACUGUGAGACCUACAAGUCGAGCAGGGACGAAAGUCGGUCUUAGUGAUCUGACGGUGCUGAGUGGAAAGGCCGUCACUCAACGGAUAAAAGUUACUCUAAGGAUAACAGGCUGAUCUCCCCCAAGAGUUCACGUCGACGGGGAGGUUUGGCACCUCGAUGUCGGCUCAUCGCAUCCUGGGGCGGUAGUACGUCCCAAGGGUUGGGCUGUUCGCCCAUGAAAGCGGUACGCGAGCUGGGUUCAGAACGUCGUGAGACAGUUCGGUCCAUAUCCGGUGUAGGCGUUAAAAUAUUGAGAGGAGCCUUCUUUAGUACGAGAGGACCGAGAAGGACAUACCUCUGGUGUACCAGUUAUCGUGCCAACGGUAAACGCUGGGUAGCUAUGUAUGGAGUGGAUAACCGCUGAAAGCAUCUAAGUGGGAAGCCCACCUCAAGAUAAGUAUUCUCC